ACGGAAGGCAGCAGUGGGGGAUAUUGCACAAUGGGGGAAACCCUGAUGCAGCGACGCCGCGUGAGUGAUGAAGUAUUUCGGUAUGUAAAGCUCUAUCAGCAGGAAAGAUAAUGACGGUACCUGACUGAGAAGCACCGGCUAAAUACGUGCCAGCAGCCGCGGUAAUACGUAUGGUGCAAGCGUUAUCCGGAUUUACUGGGUGUAAAGGGAGCGCAGACGGCAUGGCAAGCCGGAUGUGAAAGGCAGGGGCUCAACUCCUGGACUGCAUUUGGAACUGUCAAGCUAGAGUAUCGGAGAGGUAAGUGGAAUUCCUAGUGUAGCGGUGAAAUGCGUAGAUAUUAGGAGGAACACCAGUGGCGAAGGCGGCUUACUGGACGAUAACUGACGUUGAGGCUCGAAAGCGUGGGGAGCAAACAGGAUUAGAUACCCUGGUA
rnacentral:rRNA from 1 species